CAGAUAUAUCAGAAUAUGACAAACAUAAAUGCUACAGUUAUUGUCAUAAAUAAAGAAACUUUGGCGUGAAGUGAAAGGCAAGCGACCGUUGUGCUUGUUUGAAACCAAUCUCUUCAAAAAAGUGACAGCCCAGAUACACUAAGGCCAAACGUUUUGAGAAAAUGUUCCCAUAACGAAGAAAUUGAAAACAUAUGAUCCUUUAUAUAUAUAAUAGUGCUACAAAUCAACGAGAUCGCCCUAUAGUUUGGCAGUAAUGUUGAAGGUUAUCAGAAAACGUGAAUUUUAAAAAUAUAAUCCGUCAGCACGAAACGCCACAAGAGGAAUUGGCUGAUCUCCCUUUAAAAUUAAAAGAAGAUUGUUGUAGAAUCACCUACUUACAAAAAGUAUGUGCAUAUUUUGCAGUGAUCACAUAGCAAAAUGUCAAGCAACAUUUAUCAAGAGAUGAAUCAUUAGAUCAAUCAUCAUCUAACAGCAUAAGUAUACUACACUUUGUAGACAUGAUCUUGUGAAGCCUGGGAUGGAAAAGUGGAAAAAUGCUGUUAUAUUUUCACCAGUUCUCUUAAGUUCAUGGGGUGUGAUGAUAUUGUAAAUAAGACAAAGUUUAGAUUUAAUGAAUUCAACCAAAACAGUAAGUUUAUUAUAUUAAAACAUAUUAGUUAGUAGAUGAAGGAGGAGGGUUUGAAUAAUUGUUAAAUACUCCGAUGUUGAAAUUGAUUGUACAGUUGCUGCAAUUUUUAAUGGAUAUUGGUGUAGAUGUUUCUUGGGCGUUGAUUAUUUCAUGCUCUACUGCACUUGCGGCCGUAAAUCCCAAGGAAGUUACAGGAGUAGAUGACGUUGAAGCGAGUCCUGAAUGUAAGUUUCUGCAACAGCAGAGGAUUUCCACCCCCCUAGCUGUUUGAUUGCAAUCAAACCUUGCCCAUGAUUAGCCAUUGCUGUUGCAGCACUUCUACGGAAGCAGUGGCCCGUGAAGUGUUCUGGAUGUAGCAGGUGAAGAUAUUCAGCUAUUCUGGAUGGUAUUUUACCAAUAGUAUUGAUUCCAACAGGCGAUUUUGUGCAUUUACCGUUGUGAUAAGUGAGGAAAAAACGCGAAUCGUUUGUUUUCCUAAGACUGUUGUACUUUUUUAUUAUAUCAAUCCACUGUGGGUGAGAUACAACGAAGGUUCUAGGAGUGUUUGUUUUUGUCUCCGGCACAGUAACAACAAUAAUGUCUGUUUUAAAUUCUAGAUCAGACGGUUUCAUGUUGCAGAGCUCCCCCCUUCUGCACAUGCCAGAAAUGCCGAAAACUAAUGCUGCCUGAAAUAAAAUAUUAAGUGUUGUUAUAGUAAUUUGUUUAUUAGUAUGUGUCAAUCUUACCUUCAUCAUUAAAAAUGUUGAAUCAGGCGCUUUUGCAAUACAUUUCGCUAUAUGCGCAUCUUCUAAAACCGCCGAUUUUUUAGGUUGA